rnacentral:rRNA from 1 species
UACGUAGGGUGCAAGCGUUGUCCGGAAUCAUUGGGCGUAAAGCGCGCGUAGGUGGCUUUGUAAGUCCGUUGUGAAAGUCAAAGGCUCAACCUUUGAAUGCCGAUGGAUACUGCGGAGCUAGAGUACGGAAGAGGCGAGUGGAAUUCCUGGUGUAGCGGUGGAAUGCGCAGAUAUCAGGAAGAACACCCGUGGCGAAGGCGGCUCUCUGGGACGGUACUGACGCUGAGACGCGAAAGCGUGGGGAGCGAACAGG